rnacentral:rRNA from 1 species
CCCUUAGAUGUUCUGGGCCGCACGCGCGCUACACUGAUGCAUUCAACGAGUCUAAAACCUGCUCUGAUAGGGGUGGGUAAUCUUUUGAAUGUGCAUCGUGAUUGGGAUAGAUGAUUGCAAUUCUUCAUCUUCAACGAGGAAUGCCUAGUAAACGCAAGUCAUCAGCUUGCAUUGAUUAUGUCCCUGCCCUUUGUACACACCGCCCGUCGCUCCUACCGAUUGAAUGUUCCGAUGAAUACCAUGGACUGAGAGUAUGAAUGGGUUCGCCUAUUUCUGCUUCUCGGGAAGUGGAGUAAAUCUUAACAUUUAGAGGAAGGAGAAGUCGUAACA